AUUGAACGCUGGCGGCAUGCUUUACACAUGCAAGUCGAACGGCAGCGCGGGCUUCGGCCUGGCGGCGAGUGGCGAACGGGUGAGUAAUGCAUCGGAACGUGCCCAGUAGUGGGGGAUAGGCCGGCGAAAGCCGGAUUAAUACCGCAUCCGACCUGAGGGUGAAAGCGGGGGACCGAAAGGCCUCGCGCUAUUGGAUCGGCCGAUGUCGGAUUAGCUAGUUGGUGGGGUAAAGGCUUACCAAGGCGACGAUCCGUAGCUGGUCUGAGAGGACGACCAGCCACACUGGGACUGAGACACGGCCCAGACUCCUACGGGAGGCAGCAGUGGGGAAUUUUGGACAAUGGGGGCAAGCCUGAUCCAGCCAUGCCGCGUGCGGGAAGAAGGCCUUCGGGUUGUAAACCGCUUUUGUUCGGGAAGAAAUCCUCUGGGCUAAUACCCCGAGGGGAUGACGGUACCGGAAGAAUAAGCACCGGCUAACUACGUG
rnacentral:rRNA from 1 species